rnacentral:rRNA from 1 species
AUGCCGCCAGGAGGAGGAGGUGGAGGCGAGCAUGGCUGUGCGCUGCAGGGUCAGCCGACGGCGACCGUCCGCCGCGACGACGACGCUCCGUCUCAUUCUACGCUGCUGCUCCCCGACAUUGCUCCGGUAGCUUCCGAGGAGAAGAAGCAGAAGCUGGAGCGGGAGCAGGAGCAGCAGCCUGCGCCAAGCCUCCCCGAGGGCGGCCUCGUGGAGAUCCUUUCGCGAGUGCCCUACAGGUCCCUCUGCCGCUUCAAGUGCGUGUCCAAGCCGUGGCUCGCCCUCUGCUCCGCCCCUGACAUCCGCAAGAGGUCGCCACAGACCCUCUCUGGCUUCUUUUACCAGGAUGAAGGCGAAGGUUUCAGUUUCUGCAAUUUGAAUGGGAGAGGCCCGCCUCUGGUCGACCCUUCACUCUCUUUCUUUGGCAAAAGGUACCUCUACAUUAUUGUCCAACAGGUCUGCGGCGGACUCCUCCUCUGCAGCUGCUCGAAUAAUCUUCUAGGCGAAGCCUGUUAUCUUGUCUGCAAUCCUGCGACCGAGGAGUGGACUGUGCUGCCUCCUGUCGGAUUUCCAGGUCCUGAUCCAAUCGCUUUCUUAGGUUUUGACCCUGCUGUUCCAUCCCGCUUUGUGGUGUUUGCGCCCCAGCCCAAUAUGUUUGGUGUGGACGGUUCCGGAGAAGUGGCAAUCUACUCGUCAGAAACUGGACGGUGGACUCAUGUGCAAAGUAGGUGGACAAGAGAGCCUCUCGUGGAUCAUGGUAGAGACACACAGGUCUUCCUUAAUGACACUAUCCAUCUGCCUUCCAUUGAUAACAUAAUGGCCACAGUCGACGUGGAGGGGAAAGUUUGGAGGGAGAUUCAAAUGCCAAAUGACUUGCCAAACAUAUGUGAUGUUGGGCAGUCUCAAGGACGCCUGUAUGCGUGGAAGACAGAUAAUUUUUAUGAUUGCCAACUCUAUAUUUGGGUCCUUGAGGAUUAUGAUACUGGAAAGUGGACCCUAAAGCACACUUUUAAGGUUUUGGAGUUGUUUGGAAGGAAUUGCCGUAAACAUGGAGAUUCUUAUGCGAUGUUUGCAAUUCAUCCGGAUUGCAACGUGAUUUUUCUUACCGACAAGAAGAACAUGACAUUGUCGUAUGACAUGGAUAAUCAAAAAGUGCAUGUUAUCUGCGCCAAAGGCAUGAAUGGUUUGCCUUAUACUCCCUGUUUUGCGGAAUUGCCCUCAGCUGGUCACUGA